CGGGAGCUUUCCCCGAGCAUGAAACAGUCGACUCAGAACUGGUACGGACAAGGGGAAUCCGACUGUUUAAUUAAAACAAAGCAUUGCGAUGGUCCUCGCGGAUGCUGACGCAAUGUGAUUUCUGCCCAGUGCUCUGAAUGUCAAAGUGAAGAAAUUCAACCAAGCGCAAGCGCGGGCGCGGGGGGUAAACGGCGGGGCGGGAGGGAGUAAGAGUAACUAUAACUAUG
rnacentral:ncRNA from 1 species